UACGUAGGGUCCGAGCGUUGUCCGGAAUUACUGGGCGUAAAGAGCUCGUAGGUGGUUUGUCGCGUUGUUCGUGAAAACUCACAGCUCAACUGUGGGCGUGCGGGCGAUACGGGCAGACUUGAGUACUGCAGGGGAGACUGGAAUUCCUGGUGUAGCGGUGGAAUGCGCAGAUAUCAGGAGGAACACCGGUGGGCGAAGGCGGGGUCUCUGG
rnacentral:rRNA from 1 species